rnacentral:lncRNA from 10 species
UUCCUGAUUUCAGCAGUGUAGCCUUGAAGAAAUGGGAGAAUCCAGGUUUCAGAUACUCAGUUCCAAGUUGCAAACCUAUUUAACAAUGCCAUGUAACCGUUUGAAUGACCUUGGAAAACUUGCUUAACCUUCCCAAAUACUUUCCUUUUCUCUAAGUGGGGGAAAAUCUAUCUCACGGUUGAUUAUAUUUAAUCAGUAUAGCUAACAUAUAUUGAAUACUUGCUAUGUGCUUUUCUAAACCCUUACCAAAUACCUUUUAGUCCUCAAAAAGCAACGCUUAAGGCAGAUACUGCUGUUAUUCCCAUUUCCUCAAACUUGAGGAAACUGAGGCACAGAGAAGUUAAAUAAUUUAUCUAAGCUCUUAUAGCUAGUAAGCAGUAAAUUAGGAACUCUGCUACCUCUCAGCAGCAUAAUGAAUUAACUUACAUAAAGCAUCUAGGACAGUGCCCAGCAUGGAAAAAAGACUCAAAGAUGGAUUUGUUAAGAACUAUGCAGGGGCCAGGUGUGGUGGUUCAUGCCUGUAACCCCAACACUUUGGGAGGCUGUGGCAGGCGGAUCACUUAAGGCCAGGUUUUGAGACCAGCCUGGCCAACAUGGCGAAACCCUGUCUCUACUAAAAAUACAAAAAUUAGCUGGGCGUGGUGGUGCACACCUGUAGUCCCAGCUACUCGGGAGGCUGAGGCACGAUAAUCUCUUGAACCUGGGAGGCGGAGGUUGCAGUGAGCUGAGAUGGUGCCACUGCCCUCCAGCCUGGGCCACAAAGCGAGACUCUUGCCUUUAAGAAAAAAGAAAAUGAAAGAAAAAAAAAACUGCAAGGUCUGAGAUUUUACUCUACUUAUAAGCUAAUAAGUUAGUCUAUUAUUGUUUUGUAGAUACUAGCAGAAAAUAGGAGACUUCAUGAAAUUGGCACACUAAUCCGCUGGCUUGUAAGUAGAGUAAAAUUCCCUUCAUAACUACACUUAAGGCC